GGAUUUCCUCCGGUCACGUUUCAAACUUACCUAAAAAAAAUCGUAGGAUUCUUUUACACGUAAAUCCGGUUUCCAGUUCUGAUUUAGUGAUAACUCGGCAAGUAGUGUUCAGUUUGAUCUACAUGAUUGUAAAAAGUGCUUAACAAUCAGUAAAUACAGAAAGACCUAUAUCAUCGGGAGUUUCGUGAAUUCCGUAACUCGGAAAUUUUUCCAUGAGCGGUGGUGCGCAGUGUCUUUGUAUCGUAAACAUCACGCGUCGAUGCUCCCGAACGGUCCGCGAUUCGUCUCGAUGAAUUUAAGGUUUUCCGUCUUGGAUUCCACGGCAGUUCAGCUUCGGCCAUAGGAACGGCGACACCAGGAGCGAC
rnacentral:misc_RNA from 1 species